CAUUUAAAAAUUAACGGUCAUUUUGUUUUACUGACUGACUAACACUCGUUUAUUGAUCUCUUUACUGAAUAAUUACUUAUAAUUAUUAAAUAUUCGAGAGUAAAUAUUGUGAUUUCAGGGAGAUUUGACAAGUAAUUGAAGAGAACAUGAUAAUAACCAAGUUUUUGAUUACGGUCCAAAAGAGAAAAUUCAGUGGUAAGAAAUGAAUGUAAUAUUAAAGUCAAAUAAAUGUUAUUAAUUUUUAAUGUCUGUAAAAAUAAAAUUCGCAUUCUUAAAACCCAAUAUUUUGUUGAAGUCAGCUAACACACGACGUAACUGUUACGUAACCUAUUGGUAAUUUUUGGUAAUUUCAUGACUUACCAACUGGCAACGUCGGCAGUACGUCCUCCUAACGUAACAGGAUAACCAAGAACGUCCCAGAGAGGUACUCUAAUCGUAAUAUAUUGGUAACUUCAUGACUUAGUGGCAACGUAACUGCAACGUUGUAUGCACGUAAUUUCAUUACCAUAAUUUUUGUACGUUCUUUAUGCUCUCUGAUUACCAUAAUGCUAUUUAAAAAGUGUGAUUAAACUAACUUCAGACACAAGAUUGAACGUUCCUUCUUAUAAAAUGUGUUUCUUUUCACCAAGUCAGAAUAUGGACGAUUGCUUUUAAUAUGCCUUUGUAUAGCCCUAUUAAUAAAUUCACAUCAAUUACACCCAUACAGCACUGUUAAAUAUGUUGAAAUAUAUUUUGAAAAUAUAUUUUAAAAAUACAUAAAACAAAGUUAAAAAAUUGUUCCUCACGAUACAUGUGUAAAUAUGUGUACGAAAAAAUUAAUUCCUAUGCCCUAGUUUUUAAUGAAUGUUUUUUCAAUGUUGUUUCUACACCACGUUUACCAUUUCUAAAGCUAUUAUAUUAUAUUAUUUACGUAUAAUUCUGCGUGACUUCUACGUGCUUUAAUGGGCGCGCGAGCUGAACUGGAGUGGAGGAAGUCACCAUGGAAACGGGGCGGCAGCUCAACUGUCAAGCAGCAACUUCGUCUUUCACUGUUGUUUUUACUAAUUUCAGAAGCGUCAGAAAAAACCCUCUAUUACACAGAAGUUCCUGAUUUUAACAUUUCUGAAGGGAGCUGCUGACAGAGAAAUACACAUCACAGAUUCUUCCAUGCUGACGGCCGUGCACAAGAGUUAGAGCGUAUCUCCUGUCGAAGAACAUCUCUAGACAUUAUGAACCCUCUGUCUAAGACUGAAAAUCAUCAAUAAACCAAAAGUUUGGUUUAGCUCCAACCCCAAUUAAGCAGACCUGAGCAGCUGAUCAAGGAUCACCAGAAACUCUGCAGAAGGUUGGUCCUCCAUGCCCAGGACUGGACACCAGUGUUAUGCUGGUGAAAAAACCGCCAGGCUAAAGCAUUCAAAGUGGAAACUUCUGUUGUGGCUCAAUAAUCCAGGAUUGUGAUGGUGGAAGGAGCAGAAGAACCAGAAGAUCAGAGAUCAGGCAGAGAUCUACCGGUGCGCCUGAGGAAACAGAUCUACCUCAUGUCUUAGUUAAACCAAAAAUUCUCAUCACUCACCUACAUGCCGUUCCGAACCUGUAAGACUUUUGUUCAUCUUUGAAACAUAAAUGUAUAUCUUUUUAAUGAAAUCUGAGAAAUUUCUGCCCCUCCAUUUCACAGUUUAUGCAACUACCACUUUCAAGCCUCAGAAAGGUAGUAAAUACAUCAUUAAAGUAAACCCAUGUGACUCCAGUUGUUUAACCUCAAUUUAUGAAGUGAUAUGAAUGUUUUGUGUGCACAAAAAACUUUGCAUUUUUAUUUACAAAAUAACAUGUUCACGAGAGCACCAUGAUGCAUCACUGUUGGGUUGGCAUGAGAGCUGGCCAUCUCAUGGUGCUUUUGUGAAAAUGCUUUGGAGAUUUGUGAAUAAAGACAUACUAUUUUUGUUAUUGCUGUUUUUAUGCGUACACAUGGCAUCUGUUAAAAAUAUCUUCAUUUGUGUUCUGCACAAAAGGGUCUUAUGGGUUUGGAGCGACAUGAGGGUAAGUAAUUAAUGACAUAAUUUACAUUUUUGGGUGAAAUAUGUUCUAAUGUGGCUAUAAUUGGUCAUUGUUAUGUUUUAUAAACAUUUUCAAUAUUUUAAAGAUUUAUUGUUUUGAAAAAUGAUGUUUAUACAGUCUACUUUUGUUGGUAACACUUUACAAUAAGGUGUCAUUUGUUAACAUUAGUUAAUGUAUUAACUAACAUGAACAAACAAUG